ACGCUCGACACCUACGGGAGCAGCAGUGGGGAAUAUUGCACAAUGGGGGAAACCCUGAUGCAGCGACGCCGCGUGGAGGAAGAAGGUCUUCGGAUUGUAAACUCCUGUUGUUGGGGAAAAAGAGGAUGGUACCCAACAAGGAAGUGACGGCUAACUACGUGCCAGCAGUCGCGGUAAUCUGAGCGGGCUGGCAAGGC
rnacentral:rRNA from 1 species